UACGUAGGGUGCAAGCGUUGUCCGGAAUUAUUGGGCGUAAAGAGCUCGUAGGCGGUCUGUCGCGUCGGCUGUGAAAACCCGGGGCUCAACUCCGGGCCUGCAGCCGAUACGGGCAGACUAGAGUUCGGUAGGGGAGACUGGAAUUCCUGGUGUAGCGGUGAAAUGCGCAGAUAUCAGGAGGAACACCGGUGGCGAAGGCGGGUCUCUGGGCCGAUACUGACGCUGAGGAGCGAAAGCGUGGGGAGCGAACAGG
rnacentral:rRNA from 1 species